GACUAUGGCGGCGGGGUCACACCUCUUCCCUUUCCGAACAGAGAAGUUAAGCCCGCCAGCGCUGAUGGUACUGUCCCGGCGACGGGAUGGGAGAGUAAGUCGUUGCCAGUG
rnacentral:rRNA from 1 species